rnacentral:tRNA from 1 species
GCCCCGGUAGCUCAGCCUGGUUGGAGCACCGCCUUGGUAAGGCGGGGGUCGCGGGUUCAAACCCCGCCCGGGGCU